rnacentral:rRNA from 1 species
UUUAAUUUGGCUCUUUUGGCAAAACAGUGUUGGAGGCUUUUGUGCCAACCGAAAUCAUGAUGUGCCGGAGUAGAGAAAGUAAAGUAUUUCCUUGAUGGUGACCUUCUAAAUUGUAGGUUGAAGAAGGGUAGUUCAUAUACCUGGCAGAGUCUUUGGAGUGGAAUCCAGUCCUUCAAGAGAGGACACAUUUGGAGAGUAGGAGAUGGAUCACAGAUUAACAUCUGGGAGGACCCUUGGAUUCCUAGCAGCUAG